UGGCAUGUCACUGUGGCCAAAGUCCCGAUCCAUUCCAGCCAUCCCUGAACGGUACAUAUCUCAACACAGAAAAACAUUUGACCUUAGACUUAAGUUAUCAAUAACACACAAUGUGCAUCUCAUUGUUUACAUAGUAAUAAUAUCCUAGAGCUGAACCUUUUCUCUGCCCAGUAAGAGUGAAUACGCUCACUUACCUCCCAUCCUGCCACCUGGCGCCAUGUCUCUCCCUCUAAAGCCACCCAUGCUGCCCAUGUUAUCCAUGCCCCCAAAGCCACCUCCACCACUCAUUCCUGUCAAAAGCAGCACCAAGUUUGAACAUCGUUCUUUCCUUCUUCCAC